rnacentral:rRNA from 1 species
GGCUCAGAGUGAACGCUGGCGGUAGGCCUAACACAUGCAAGUCGAACGGCAGCACAGGAGAGCUUGCUCUCUGGGUGGCGAGUGGCGGACGGGUGAGGAAUACAUCGGAAUCUACUCUGUCGUGGGGGAUAACGUAGGGAAACUUACGCUAAUACCGCAUACGACCUACGGGUGAAAGCAGGGGACCUUCGGGCCUUGCGCGAUUGAAUGAGCCGAUGUCGGAUUAGCUAGUUGGCGGGGUAAAGGCCCACCAAGGCGACGAUCCGUAGCUGGUCUGAGAGGAUGAUCAGCCACACUGGAACUGAGACACGGUCCAGACUCCUACGGGAGGCAGCAGUGGGGAAUAUUGGACAAUGGGCGCAAGCCUGAUCCAGCCAUACCGCGUGGGUGAAGAAGGCCUUCGGGUUGUAAAGCCCUUUUGUUGGGAAAGAAAUCCAGCUGGCUAAUACCCGGUUGGGAUGACGGUACCCAAAGA